rnacentral:lncRNA from 9 species
AGGAACUCCACAGGGUCUCCUGCCCACUUUGCAGAUGGGGAAGCGAGCCGGGAGAGGUCAAGUGAGUCACCUGCCGUCACCCAGGUCACUACGGACCCUGAAGUCCAGGCUACAGCCUCCCAUGCAAAUGCUUUUCAAGAAGGCAGGGGUGCCUCCCACUCCAGGACACCCCAAGAAUGCAGACCCGCGCUCUGCAGGCAGGAUGGGGGUGCUGUCCUGCCCAGGGCCCCCAGGGGCACCUGACUCUGUCACCAAGAAUCAAGGAUAUAUUAAGAAGUGCACACAGGACGUAAAACUUUCCUUGAACCAGACGAAAAAACUCCCUCAUCAAGCAUGUGCGUGUCUCAGCGGAGCGUUCAGAAGAGCAAAAAGCAGAAAUUUCCCCUGGCUGUGGGGCUGAAACAGGAAACCACCCAGAAACCCUCAGCAGAGGAGGCUGGGAGUCCCCAGGUCCCUGGGACUGAGUGGACAUUUCACAGGAAGCACCCCUGGGUGCAGCCUGCACCUGUUCCCGUCCCUUGGCGCUGGAAUGACGGCUGCAUGAGCUCACGGAUUGUUGUGUUUCACUUGCUGAUGAAUCACACCUGGCACAGAUAUGGUCCCUGCAGGUUGCUGUUGACUAGAAUGGUAAAUGGCCGUGGCGAUGGUAAAUAAAUCCGGGGCUACUGGGGGCAGCUGGGUGAGGGGCCAUGACUCUGCCUCUCUGCGUGGCAUUUGUGUCCCCGGAUCUCCAUGGUGGCCUGCCCUCUGGAUGACCAGGAAGACCCCCUCCCCACCCCCAGACUCCCAGGGAUACGGAAGUGCUUCAAGGCGGUGAGCAGGUGG